GAUGAACGCUGGCGGCGUGCCUAAUACAUGCAAGUCGAGCGAACGGACGAGAAGCUUGCUUCUCUGAUGUUAGCGGCGGACGGGUGAGUAACACGUGGAUAACCUACCUAUAAGACUGGGAUAACUUCGGGAAACCGGAGCUAAUACCGGAUAAUAUUUUGAACCGCAUGGUUCAAAAGUGAAAGACGGUCUUGCUGUCACUUAUAGAUGGAUCCGCGCUGCAUUAGCUAGUUGGUAAGGUAACGGCUUACCAAGGCAACGAUGCAUAGCCGACGUGAGAGGGUGGUCGGCCACACGGGAACUGAGACGCGGUCCAGACUCCUACGGGAGGCAGCAGUAGGGAAUCUUCCGCAAUGGGCGAAAGCCUGACGGAGCAACGCCGCGUGAGUGAUGAAGGUCUUCGGAUCGUAAAACUCUGUUAUUAGGGAAGAACAUAUGUGUAAGUAACUGUGCACAUCUUGACGGUACCUAAUCAGAAAGCCACGGCUAACUACGUG
rnacentral:rRNA from 1 species